CACAUGCAAGUCGAACGGUAGCAGGAGAAGCUUGCUUUCUUGCUGACGAGUGGCGGACGGGUGAGUAAUGCUUGGGAAUCUGGCUUAUGGAGGGGGAUAACUACGGGAAACUGUAGCUAAUACCGCGUAGUGUCGAGAGACGAAAGUGCGGGACCGCAAGGCCGCAUGCCAUGAGAUGAGCCCAAGUGGGAUUAGGUAGUUGGUGAGGUAAUGGCUCACCAAGCCUGCGAUCUCUAGCUGGUCUGAGAGGAUGGCCAGCCACACUGGAACUGAGACACGGUCCAGACUCCUACGGGAGGCAGCAGUGGGGAAUAUUGCGCAAUGGGGGGAACCCUGACGCAGCCAUGCCGCGUGAAUGAAGAAGGCCUUCGGGUUGUAAAGUUCUUUCGGUAUUGAGGAAGGAGUGUAUGUUAAUAGCAUGCAUUAUUGACGUUAAAUACAGAAGAAGCACCGGCUAACUCCGUGCCAGCAGCCGCGGUAAUACGGAGGGUGCGAGCGUUAAUCGGAAUAACUGGGCGUAAAGGGCACGCAGGCGGUUAUUUAAGUGAGGUGUGAAAGCCCCGGGCUUAACCUGGGAAUUGCAUUUCAGACUGGGUAACUAGAGUACUUUAGGGAGGGGUAGAAUUCCACGUGUAGCGGUGAAAUGCGUAGAGAUGUGGAGGAAUACCGAAGGCGAAGGCAGCCCCCCUUGGGAAUGUACUGACGCUCAUGUGCGAAAGC
rnacentral:rRNA from 1 species